AUACUUACCUGGACGGGGUCAAUGAGCGAUCAAUAAGGCUCAUGGCGUAGGUUGGUGACCUCCAUUGCACUUUGGAGGGGUGCCCGCCUAAGGUCGAUCCAAGUGGUCGAGCCUACGUCAUAAUUUGUGAUAGUGGGGGCCUGCGUUCGCGCGGCCCCUAC
rfam:Nicotiana attenuata strain TT chromosome 6, whole genome shotgun sequence.